rnacentral:rRNA from 1 species
UACGAAGGGGCUAGCGUUGCUCGGAAUUACUGGGCGUAAAGCGCACGUAGGCGGACUGGAAAGUCAGGGGUGAAAUCCCGGGGCUCAACCCCGGAACUGCCUUUGAAACUCCCGGUCUUGAGGUCGAGAGAGGUGAGUGGAAUUCCGAGUGUAGAGGUGAAAUUCGUAGAUAUUCGGAGGAACACCAGUGGCGAAGGCGGCUCACUGGCUCGAUACUGACGCUGAGGUGCGAAAGCGUGGGGAGCAAACAGG